rnacentral:rRNA from 1 species
UUUACCCGCUGAAACUUAAGCAUAUCAAUAAGCGGAGGAAAAGAAACUAACAAGGAUUCCCCUAGUAACUGCGAGUGAAGCGGGAAAAGCUCAAAUUUAAAAUCUGGCGGUCUCUGGCCGUCCGAGUUGUAAUCUAGAGAAGUGUUAUCCGCGCUGGACCGUGUACAAGUCUCCUGGAAUGGAGCGUCAUAGAGGGUGAGAAUCCCGUCUUUGACACGGACUGCCAGGGCUUUGUGAUGCGCUCUCAAAGAGUCGAGUUGUUUGGGAAUGCAGCUCAAAAUGGGUGGUAAAUUCCAUCUAAAGCUAAAUAUUGGCGAGAGACCGAUAGCGAACAAGUACCGUGAGGGAAAGAUGAAAAGAACUUUGGAAAGAGAGUUAAACAGUACGUGAAAUUGCUGAAAGGGAAACGCUUGAAGUCAGUCGCGUUGGCCGGGAAUCAACCUUGCUUUUGCUGGGCGUAUUUUCUGGUCGACGGGUCAACAUCAAUUUUGACCGUUGGAUAAAGUCUGAGGGAAUGUGGCUUCUUCGGGAGUGUUAUAGCCCUUGGUCGCAUACAACGGUUGGGAUUGAGGAACUCAGCACGCCGCAAGGCCGGGUACUUGUACCACGUUCGUGCUUAGGAUGUUGGCAUAAUGGCUUUAAUCGACCCGUCUUGAAACACGGACCAAGGAGUCUAACAUGCCUGCGAGUGUUUGGGUGGAAAACCCGAGCGCGUAAUGAAAGUGAAAGUUGAGAUCCCUGUCGUGGGGAGCAUCGACGCCCGGACCAGACCUUUUGUGACGGAUCCGCGGUAGAGCAUGUAUGUUGGGACCCGAAAGAUGGUGAACUAUGCCUGAAUAGGGUGAAGCCAGAGGAAACUCUGGUGGAGGCUCGUAGCGAUUCUGACGUGCAAAUCGAUCGUCAAAUUUGGGUAUAGGGGCGAAAGACUAAUUCGAACCCUCUAGGUU